rnacentral:misc_RNA from 1 species
UUUUGUGCCAUGAGAUUUCACUCUGUCAUGAAUCCUUAACAAGUACCAGUUAACACUCUGGUAAAACCCAACUUCCAUGUGGACGGGCGCAGCACCCGGGAGCUGGCUGGGACUCGCAGAUUGCGAUUCUGACUAGACGCGGGCCGGUUGCAGACAGACUGGACUACGGUCGGGGAUUACAUUGGUGACCUCCUGUCCCGGACUGUAUGACGUGACUUGACGUCAUCCCACCUUCCUCCGGUUUGUCACCGGCAGUCCCAUUAGGAGUGCUUUCACCUCCCCGACAAGGGUUGGGCUUCAGAUUUUAACUCCAACAUUCCAAUUUGACACGAGCUGACGACAGCCAUGCAAGUAGACGCGGUGCCCCACUCUUUUCUAGAAGCACUCCCAAAUCUUCUUCGGGGGAUUCCAGACAUGUUGCAGGUUUUUGUGUUGCACGAAUAUCCACACGCUUGUGUGGGUCCCUGUCAUACUUUUGAGAUCUAGCAGACAAUUCUAACACGCGUUAGUUGUUGCAGCAAUAGUGUUCGAAGGCCCCAACAGCUAGUUGACAUCGUUUAGGCGUGGACUAACAGGGUAUCUAAUCCUGUUUAGCUCCCCACGCUUUCGUGCAUGAGCUAGAGUGGACCGCGUGUAGCAGUGAAAUGCGUAGAUAUGCGGAGGAACACCGAUGGCGAAGGCAGCCUCCGGGGAUAACACUGACGCUCAUGCACGAAAGCGUGGGGAGCAAACAGGAUUAGAUACCCUGGUAGUCCACGCCCUAAAUGAUGUCAACUAGCUGUUGGGGCCUUCGCCUUGGUAGCGCAGCUAACGGGGUGUUGACCGCCUGGGGAGUAAUGGUCGCAAGAUUAAAACUCAAAGGAAUUGACGGGGACCCGCACAAGCGGUGGAUGAUGUGAUUAAUUCGAUGCAACGCGAAAAACCUUACCUACCCUUGGACAUGUCUGGAAUCCCGAAGAGAUUUGGGGAGUGCUCGCAAGAGAACCGGAACACAGGUGCUGCAUGGCUGUCGUCAGCUCGUGUCGUGAGAUGUUGGGUUAAGUCCUGCAACGAGCGCAACCCUUGUCAUUAGUUGCUACGAAAGGGCACUCUAAUGAGACUGCCGGUGACAAACCGAGGAAGGUGGGAUGACGUCAAGUCCUCAUGGCCCUUAUGGGUAGGGCUUCACACGUCAUACAAUGGUCGGGACAGAGGGUCGCCAACCCGCGAGGGGGAGCCAAUCCCAGAAACCCGACCGUAGUCCGGACUGCAGUCUGCAACUCGACCGCGAAGUCGGAAUCGCCAGUAAUCGCGGAUCAGCAUGUCGUGGUGGUGAAUACGUUCCCGGGUCUUGUACACACCGCCCGUCACACCAUGGGAGUGGGUUUUACCAGAAGUAGUUAGCCUGACCGUAAGGAGGGCGAUUACCACGGUAGGAUUCAUGACUGGGGUGAAGUCGUAACACAGUAA